AUUGCGACCGCUAGCAGUCACCUGCUCACGCGCAUCGUAGCUGGGAGCUGGGUCGGUUCGGCGGCCGUCGCGGUUCAGUCUAGCCGGCGCCUACCGCAUCUGCACCAAGAUGCUGAAGGCCACCAGGAGGACACUGUCGAGCCCGGCCAGGCUGCUUGCUGCUUCCCACAACCUAGUGGCACAGCUAUCAACGGAGGAGCGCAAAGAGAGGUUCUGACGAUCUACCUGAGUUUUGGGCGUGGCUGAUGAAGAUGGUGGCCGGAAUUUUGAAUCUUGAAACUAGCUAAAUUUGUAACGGAUAGAAUAUAUAUGAGUUUAUUUGUAAUUUGUAAAAUCUUUUUUUUUGUUUCUUAAAUUCGUUACUGCUGGCGCA